rnacentral:rRNA from 1 species
GCCGUAGGGCGCGAGCGUUGUCCGGAUUUAUUGGGCGUAAAGAGCUCGUAGGCGGCUUGUCGCGUCGUCUGUGAAAUCCCGCGGCUCAACUGCGGGUCUGCAGUCGAUACGGGCAGGCUAGAGUUCGGUAGGGGAGACUGGAAUUCCUGGUGUAGCGGUGAAAUGCGCAGAUAUCAGGAGGAACACCGGUGGCGAAGGCGGGUCUCUGGGCCGAUACUGACGCUGAGGAGCGAAAGCGUGGGGAGCGAACAGG